GAUGAAGAACGUAGCGAAAUGCGAUAAGUAAUGUGAAUUGCAGAAUUCAGUGAAUCAUCGAAUCUUUGAACGCACCUUGCGCUCCUUAGUAUUCCGAGGAGCAUGCCUGUUUGAGUGUCAUGAAAUUCUCAACCUUUUCAGCUUUCUUUGUUGAUCAGGCUUGGAUGUGGGAGUAUGCGGGCUUCUCAGAAGUCGGCUCUCCUGAAAUGCAUUAGCGGGACCUUUGUUGCCUGGCUUUAGUGUGAUAAUUAUCUACGCCAUUGUAGUCAAGCAGCUUAAAAUGAGGUUUCAGCUUCUAACCGUCUCCCCUGAGACAACUUUUUGACAAUUUGACCUCAAAUCAGGUAGGACUACCCGCUGAACUUAAGCAUAUCAUAAGCGGAGGA
rnacentral:misc_RNA from 1 species